ensembl:snRNA U1 U1 spliceosomal RNA
ACACUUACCUGACAAGGGGAGAUACCAUGAUCACAAAGGUGGUUUUCCCAGGGCAACGCUUAGCCAUCACACUUGGGGUGUGCUGACCCAUGAUUUCCCCAAAUGUGGGCAAUUUGACUGCACCGUUUGUGAUAGUGGGGGACUGCGUUUACACUUA